CGGUGGUCCGGGGACCCGAGGCCCCCAGAUUUUGGCGAGGACCACCAGUUCCUUCAAGCUGGGUGGUCCUCCGGGAACCCUAAAUUUAUAAAACCACUUUGUCUUGAUUGACCAUUUGAAUUUUUAAAAGUGCCUCCAAUUUUUUAAGAGCGGCGUAUAAAAAAACAUCGGUAAAAUCUUAUCCGAAAAUGUACUGCGAAUCGAAAGCACGCGACUGAGCAUUAGCGGCCAGCGUCUGUAAGUUGUAAAUAUUGAUUUUCGACGAUGUAAGCGACCUACAGUGCAGAGAGUAUAUUGAAAUCACUGAAGCGUGCAACAAGAAAAGAUGGUGGUAAUUGUCUGGGCCUUACUGUCAGGAAAUAGGCGUGAACAACUAUAAUUUAAUUGAUCCUGGAAAUCAUCCACCACUAACAGAAAACGUUUUAAUAACAGAAGCUGAUGUAUGACAUGUCCAAAUGACCAUAUAUAACUGUUUAACAAAUUAAGUGAGAUGAUUUAUUUUCUGAUGUUUUAUAUUUCUUUUUCCCUUUCAAAUGAUGUAAAUUGGUGUGAUUCAAUGUUUAAAUAAUUAAUUUUGAAACAUUUAGGCAGCAUACUGUUUAAUACAUUGAAGUUAACAUUGUUAUAUUAUUUUGGUUAUCUGUGUUGUUAAUCAAGUUGAAAAAAAUGGUAUUUAUAUACAAAUAAAGCUUAUUAAGACUUAUGAAGGUAUGACUUAUGAAGGUACUUAUUGUUUUUUAUGUAAUAAUAUACUUUUUAAAGUGAUAAUAUAGGCAAUCACAUUAAUGUAGUAAGGUUUCUUUAAAUGAUUGUUCUUAUUAAUAAGGUUGGAAUAAUCGACAGUUUUCACGGCGCGAAAAAGUUGCAACAAGUUUUGUUGAGCCAGUGAAACCCCUGAAUGCGCGUAAUUACCUUUUAUUUCUUAAAAGUUUAUAAUAAGAACUUCCGAAACGCUAAGUUCUGGCGGCGAAGGGCAAUGCUGAAGAUGAUAAUGCUGAAGAUGAUUAUGACACGGAUGACGAUGCUGAUGAUAUUGAUGAAAUACAUGAAAUCAAAAGUUUACAAGACAAAGUUAUGAGCUUUUAAUGGGUCUGCUUUAAAUGGCAACAGAAUUGAAUAUAGGAAAUAAAAAUGUGUACUAGUAUGCUUCUUGUACUUAUUUGCCCUUACGCCGAGAGAAGCUGUGUGUUGAAACAAGAGGGCUCCCUAGGUUUUGGUGAGGGCCACCAAAAGUUGAAAGUAGGGUUCCCUCCG